ncrna:unclassified sequences pemK RNA
AUAAUGAUACUUCCGGCGACGGCUGUCCAUAGGAAUGGCAGAGGUGAAAGCCCUAUGC